rnacentral:tRNA from 1 species
GUAGGCGUAAGCUCAGUGGUAGAGCAGCGGACUCAACACCCGUUGGUCGAAGGUUCGAAUCCUUCCGGCGGCGCCA